rnacentral:rRNA from 1 species
CGUGCCUAAUACAUGCAAGUCGAACGAGGUCUGAUAAGCUUGCUUAGAGGAUCGAGUGGCGAACGGGUGAGUAAUACAUAAGCAACCUGCCUGUAAGGACUGGGAUAGCGCCUGGAAACGGGUGCUAAAACCGGAUAAGUAUAGCGAAGGCAUCUUGGCUAUAUAAAAGGUUCAAAACACAAACAGAUGGGCUUAUGGUGCAUUAGCUAGUUGGUGAGGUAACGGCCCACCAAGGCGAUGAUGCAUAGCCGGCCUGAGAGGGUGAUCGGCCACAUUGGGACUGAGACACGGCCCAAACUCCUACGGGAGGCAGCAGUAGGGAAUUUUCGGCAAUGGGGGAAACCCUGACCGAGCAACGCCGCGUGAGUGAAGACGGCCUUCGGGUUGUAAAGCUCUGUUGUAAGGGAAGAAUGGUAUAGAGAGAAUCUAUAAAUGACGGUACCUUACCAGAAAGCCACGGCUAACUACGUGCCAGCAGCCGCGGUAAUACGUAGGUGGCGAGCGUUAUCCGGAAUUACUGGGCGUAAAGGGUGCGCAGGCGGUCUUUUAAGUUUAAGGUGAAAGCGUGGGGCUCAACCCCAUAAAGCCUUAAAUACUGGGAGACUAGAGUACUGGAGAGGGAAGUGGAAUUCCAUGUGUAGCGGUAAAAUGCGUAGAUAUAUGGAGGAACACCAGUGGCGAAGGCGACUUACUGGACUGUAACUGACGUUGAGGCACGAAAGUGUGGGGAGCAAACAGGAUUAGAUACCCUGGUAGUCCACACCGUAAACGAUGGAUACUAGGUGUAGGAUGUGUUAAACAUUCUGUGCCGUCGCAAACGCAGUAAGUAUCCCACCUGGGGAGUACGGCCGCAAGGUUGAAACUCAAAGGAAUUGACGGGGGCCCGCACAAGCAGUGGAGCAUGUGGUUUAAUUCGAAGCAACGCGAAGAACCUUACCAGACCUUGACAUCCCUCUGAAUACCGGGUAAUGCCGGUAGGCCUUCGGGACAGAGGAGACAGGUGGUGCAUGGUUGUCGUCAGCUCGUGUCGUGAGAUGUUGGGUUAAGUCCCGCAACGAGCGCAACCCUUGUCCAUAGUAGCCAGCAGUAAGAUGGGAACUCUAUGGAGACUGCCGGGGUCAACCCGGAGGAAGGUGGGGAUGACGUCAAAUCAUCAUGCCCCUUACGGUCUGGGCUACACACGUGCUACAAUGGCGUAACAAAGGGAAGCGAGCCUGCGAAGGUAAGCAAACCUCAAAAAUAACGUCCCAGUUCGGACUGCAGUCUGCAACUCGACUGCACGAAGCCGGAAUCGCUAGUAAUCGCAGACCAGAAUGCUGCGGUGAUACGUUC